UCAUUACACAAGCAGGGUUAUAUAUGAAACUGUAAACAAGUGAAUAAUAAGUGUCCCAUUCACUGAACAGUGAGCUUGAAUUAACCAAUCAGGGUCUUAUUUGAGAUCUUUUCUGAACUGAUAUUGUUGUUUGGGCCAACCAUAUACAGAUACAUUGUUAACAUUCUGUCAUUGAAUAGACUCCAUGCAGAGACCCCAUUGUU